rnacentral:ncRNA from 1 species
CUGACCGGUACGCAUGGGUCGACGUUUGAACAAACGAGCCCAUUCCACAUGCUCUAAAAAGUGCACGUGGAUGCGUUAUUGUCAG